UGACCGGCAAUCCUGGGAGGUCGGUGAUGAGGAAACUCUUUCAGGGGAGCGGCCGGACCCUUGGGAUGAGGAACCUUGUUUUCCCCAGCUCAAUUGACAAAUACCUCACUGACUACCAGAGGCACCAUGAGGGAAGCUGCCCCUCACAGAAACAGCUAGAAAACACCUUCUCCAAAGUCAGCAGGGUGAAGUCAUUUUUGUUUUUUCUAAGCAUGGGCAGCUCAGAGCUCCACACAUGGAGGUUUCUGGACCAGCUGAGAAAAUAAGGAAAUGGGUCGACACGCUGACCGAGAUGGGAAAGACCAUCACGACGGCAAAUUUCUAUCUGUGCAACGUGUUCCAAUUCCUGAAAUAUUUCAAGGAGACGCCGCCACACCUCUGUCGCCUCUCCCAGGCGCAGAUCACCGGGGUGAUCGGGGUGGUCCG